GCCCGCCCGAGGCUGCGCCGAGCUCCGCGCAGCCCUCCGCGCCUCUCGCCGCGCCGCUCCGCCCGGCUCCCCCGCUAACAGGCACCUCGCAAGGCAGGCAGCAUACUGCCAGCAGCCGGCCCGGCCCCGCUACCCAGAACCCAGAUGCAAUUUCACACUUUCCUGGAAGGGGAUUCUGGAUUCUUCGGAAAGCAGCGACACGAUCGCAACUGCAGUGAAAAUUAAUUACUAUCAUCUACAAUUAAUAGAAGCAUGCCACCGUUUGACUUCGUGUUUCAUUACAUAAUCAUUUCGCCACGUCUCUCGAUUAAAGUGUCUCCCACUUCUGAAAGGCUCGGUUUCGCCCUCUGUGAAGCACGCAAGAACCUCACUAUUCCCUUCCAUCGGAGCUGGAUCGGGCCCUGGCAUAUGGACGGGGGCUGUACGUAGUUGCUACAGCACUCAUUUGACAAGCACUCAUUUGGAUGGAGGGGCGCAGUAAAUGUUCAUAUACAACUAAAUAGUCAGGUAGAACGCUAAGCUGGAUCCUUGAUAGUUUUAACUUGUGAACCUUUCCCUUAACCAUGUUUUUCCAAUUUUCCCGCUAAUUUACAAGUGCAUUUUACAUGUUACCGUGGGCCACACUUCGUUUUCAUGUCAGCCUGUUGGCGCACCUUUUGUAGGUGGUGCCGUCCAGAGGCUGCUGCAGAAUUCACCUUAAUAGUGCAUAUACUUUCUUUGGGAAAACCUUCCCAGUUUAGCUGGAAUACAGGCUGAAUCCAGCCUUGACCGCUGCACAGAAAAGCGGCAAAGGCAUAAAAAGUCCCGUGGCGCGGAAAUGCUGUCCCCUUCCUUGGUGGCUUGGCGAGGGCGUGGGGCAGGUGACCGCUCAGUCGCUGGAUGCGCUUUGCAGCUUCACACAGGGGGGAAACAGGCGCCCAGACUCGCGCUUGAUAACGGGAGCUGCAAACGUGCAGCAGCAGGAUAGAUCCCCAUCCUUUAGUAUGCAAAGCAUGUCCACUAGGUGAUGUACAUGCUGCAAGAGCUGACAUAUUACCUGCUUCUCUCUCUGCUCAUACUAUUGUUUAUCCUUUGCUUUUGGUAGUGAGGAAAACAUGUUAAGGUCCUUCCAAAUUAAAAAAGAGAAGCUAUCCGCUUGCAGGAGUUUACAGGCUCCACUGCUGUACCCUUUGACAUCUUCUCCUUGUCUAAUGUGACAGAUUUUAA